CCCAGACUCCUACGGGAGGCAGCAGUGGGGGAUAUUGCACAAUGGGGGGAACCCUGAUGCAGCGACGCCGCGUGGGUGAAGGAGCGUUUCGGCGCGUAAAGCCCUAUCGGCAGGGAAGAAGGAGGACGGUACCUGACUAAGAAGCCCCGGCUAACUACGUGCCAGCAGCCGCGGUAAUACGUAGGGGGCAAGCGUUAUCCGGAUUUACUGGGUGUAAAGGGGGCGCAGACGGCAGCGCAAGCCAGGAGUGAAAGCCCGGGGCCCAGCCCCGGGACUGCUCUUGGAACUGCGCGGCUGGAGUGCAGGAGGGGGAGGCGGAAUUCCUGGUGUAGCGGUGAAAUGCGUAGAUAUCAGGAGGAACACCGGUGGCGAAGGCGGCCUGCUGGACUGCGACUGACGUUGAGGCCCGAAAGCGUGGGGAGCAAACAGGAUUAGAUACCCGUGUAA
rnacentral:rRNA from 1 species